rnacentral:siRNA from 1 species
GCACUGUUCGGUCCUGGUGGUU